rnacentral:rRNA from 1 species
UGGGGAAUAUUGCACAAUGGGCGAAAGCCUGAUGCAGCGACGCCGCGUGAGGGAUGACGGCCUUCGGGUUGUAAACCUCUUUCAGCAGGGAAGAAGCGAAAGUGACGGUACCUGCAGAAGAAGCGCCGGCUAACUACGUGCCAGCAGCCGCGGUAAUACGUAGGGCGCAAGCGUUGUCCGGAAUUAUUGGGCGUAAAGAGCUCGUAGGCGGUUAGUCGCGUCUGCUGUGAAAACUCGAGGCUCAACCUCGGGCUUGCAGUGGGUACGGGCUGACUAGAGUGCGGUAGGGGUGACUGAAUUCCUGGUGUAGCGGUGGAAUGCGCAGAUAUCAGGAGGAACACCGAUGGCGAAGGCAGGUCACUGGGCCGCAACUGACGCUGAGGAGCGAAAGCAUGGGGAGCGAACAGGAUUAGAUA